GAUGGAGAACCAGCGAAAUGCGAUAAGUAAUGUGAAUUGCAGAAUUCAGUGAAUCAUCGAAUCUUUGAACGCACAUUGCGCCCCCUGGUAUUCCGGGGGGCAUGCCUGUUCGAGCGUCAUUUCAACCCUCAAGCUCUGCUUGGUAUUGAGUCCAUGUCAGCAAUGGCAGGCUCCAAAAUCAGUGGCGGCGCCGCUGGGUCCUGAACGUAGUAAUAUCUCUCGUUACAGGUGCUCGGCGUGCUUCUGCCAAAACCCCAAUUUUUCUAUGGUUGACCUCGGAUCAGGUAGGGAUACCCGCUGAACUUAAGCAUAUCAAUAAGCGGAGGA
rnacentral:misc_RNA from 1 species